rnacentral:ncRNA from 1 species
ACCGAAAAAGGCAAACCUAUCGCGAGAUAGGGGCGCAAAGUCAUGGGUCCCACGUCGGAUCGCCAGACCGCCGAAG